rnacentral:rRNA from 1 species
UGGGGAAUUUUGGACAAUGGGGGAAACCCUGAUCCAGCCAUCCCGCGUGUGCGAUGAAGGCCUUCGGGUUGUAAAGCACUUUUGGCAGGAAAGAAACGUCAUGGGUUAAUACCCCGUGAAACUGACGGUACCUGCAGAAUAAGCACCGGCUAACUACGUGCCAGCAGCCGCGGUAAUACGUAGGGUGCAAGCGUUAAUCGGAAUUACUGGGCGUAAAGCGUGCGCAGGCGGUUCGGAAAGAAAGAUGUGAAAACCCAGAGCUCAACUUUGGAACUGCAUUUUUAACUACCGGGCUAGAGUGUGUCAGAGGGAGGUGGAAUUCCGCGUGUAGCAGUGAAAUGCGUAGGUAUGCGGAGGAACACCGAUGGCGAAGGCAGCCUCCUGGGAUAACACUGACGCUCAUGCACGAAAGCGUGGGGAGCAAACAGG